UCCUCCGUCCUCCGACGCGCAGAGUCCGCUCAGGCCACCGCUGCACCAGCUCGCCCACCGCCAGCGGUCUGCAGCAGGCGAAGGCGGCCUCCAGCAGCGCCCCGUAAAGCUCCCUGGGAACCCAGCGAAGCCAGAAAAAUUUCAGGACAUCCAAUCCGUUGAAGGUGGACUGUUUCCACUGCGAUGAAGUUUCAAUGUUCAGAAAGCGGUUGUAAUCCUGUGUUGCAUAGAAUGGAAGCAAACGAUGCAAAUAAUCAUUCAUGGAUACAGAUCAGAAAACCAUUCCAUACUUGAAAACUGACUGAGGAAUGAUGGAGUAUGCUGGGAGAGUUUCUGGAGGUGAGCUGGUAUUGGGAUAGGAAGAAGAGAUUGGGAUC